rnacentral:rRNA from 1 species
AAUCAACGCUGGCGGCGUGCCUCAGACAUGCAAGUCGAACGCGAAAGUCCCCUUCGGGGAGUGAGUAGAGUGGCGUCCGGGUGAGUAACACGUAGGUAAUCUACCUUUGGGUGGGGAAUAACCCGACGAAAUACGGGCGUAAUACCGCAUAAUGCAGCGGCACCACAUGGUGACAGUUGUUAAAGACGGGGGAGUCGCAAGACCUCGCGCCUAAAGAGGAGCCUGCGGCGGAUUAG